rnacentral:tRNA from 1 species
GCGCCCGUAGCUCAGUCGGACAGAGCACCGGUUUCCUAAACCGAAGGUCACAGGUUCGAGUCCUGUCGGGCGCG